AGAUCCUUCAAAAAUAUCUUCUUUUGACAAAGAGUUGGCACGUGCAUUUGGAAGAAUGAGAUGAAUGUGUUGGAAUGUGGAAUCUGAUCAAACUGCUGUGAGUGUAGAAGAGACAGAAAGUUCAUACAUGAUAAGAACUUGCCCCAGAGCAAAGGCCAGCCACCCCCUCUUUCACUCGAGCAGAUGUUUCACAGAAGUGCAUUGCAUAAACACAAAAGGAGAUGUUCUGAUGAAUGCUGAGGUCCAUAAAAGAUUGGACGACACUGACUUUCUUUUAUAAGUUCAAACAGGUUUAGAACAACAUGAGGGUGAGUAAAUAAUGACAGAUUUUUCAUUUUUUAGGUGAACUAUCCCUACUCACACCAAGAAAAAACACAAACUUAAAUAUGAGUUUUGUGUUGCUGUAAAGCAAGUGGAAUUCGUAUUGUCAUAUUUUGCAUGUGCACAAAUGCAGUGUUUUGUUUGUUUGUUUCACUCUUGGUGUAAAUAGACUUUUUGUGCAUGAUUUAUUUAGCUUUUCCGCUUUUAGUGUAAACAGGCCUUUAUUCUUUCGACCCUGCACCAGUAUUUAAGCUUCAAUGCUUCAUUACCCACAGUAUGUGUUUCCUUUUUCCUUAUUCACUCAUAUCCAACACAGAAAGCAUGCAAGGUCAAUAUGGCCCUAAGGAAAUGAAAUUCCCAAAGGAAAGGCAUAUGGCUCCAGCUGGUGCUAAUCAAUAUCUUCAAUACGGCACACUGCCCUGAUCAAUUGUGCAUCAUGAAGGCUUGUAUCUUCGAAUAAAAGAUUUGUAUCGUUAACAUCUCCAACACCAAGAGCUGCAUCUUCCCACCCAGGAUCAAUAGGAGCUUUCUUAAGCCUUGAGCACACAGUGUUUUCAUUGACGUCUGCUGCUCUGAUGUAUAUUUAACUGCUGGGUGUAACUCCUGUCCUGGAGAAGCACCAGUCAACAGUCAGUUUUACUACAAGUAACUUUGACGAUGUUAGGGGAACAUGCUUAGAUUGCCAAACAUCUCACACGCUCCUUAAAGGUAACACCUAAGGACCACACAUGCUCUGUUAGAAAAAAAGUAUGUAGAAAGAAAUGCCUAGAAAGAUGAUGAAGACUCAAGUGAGUCCUUAUAAGCAUGUGGCUAUGAAUGUGCAUGGUGGGUGGCAUGUUGAGUCAGAGGGAGAACAGCAAGUGAAUAGAACUUCACAGUAACAAAUGCAACCCUGAGGAUCCAGUUUAACCAUUUAAAAGUUAGCCUGAAAGUUAUAAAUGUCAUCCUAAUAUUGAGGCGCUUUAGGGUUAGAAAUG